CCACUAAGAACUUGUUAUCCUACCAUAAAACAUAUAUUCAUAGCAAUAACAGAAAUUUGGCAAUUUAAUGAUAGAAAACCACCUUUUGAUCUGUUGAAUCAUCAUAGAAAACCAUCAUAUUGGCCAUCCUUUGUCUUUAAACCAUCAUAUUGAUAUGAUCUUGCAUCCUACAAUUGCAACCAAUCAAACAAACUAUUCUUUUAAAUUACCUUAGAUAAUAAAGAGACUAAUGAGUCUCGUGGGAAAGAUUUUCAGGAUAUUCGUUUUGGAGCAUGCACAAAAUCGACGGGUUACGGAUGCAACGUCGUUAAACAAUUCCAGGACAAUUAAAUUGCUGAUUCAAUCGAACAUAUGGUAUGAACAUGUUCGUUUCACGGGGUGUUUCGGUGUCUUGCCUUGAAUCAAGGCGUGUAAAAACGUUAUGUGUGAUCCUUAUACACCAGCUGGUGUUCCAAUUCCAACCAACAAGAGGCACAACGCUGCUAAAAUUUUCAGACACCCAUCAUUGCCUCCGAGGAGCCUUGGUAUGCUCAUCUUCUUCUUUUUUGGCUAUACAUAUUAUUUUCGUUACUAUAAAUUCUAAUAGUGUUUGUUUUUUUAAACGAUUGUAUGUUUUGGAUGAAUGAAAGCAACCACGAUGCAUGAAGAAGAUUCAAUUCGAAAGAUUCAUAUAAAUUGGACUAUUGCUACAAAAAAAAACAGAAUCACAGGUUCAAUUCUAUCAAAGGAGAUAAAGCCUCUUAUCUCUACUGUCUUUGAGGGUAAAGAUGCUAAUGUCAUCGCCCACGGAGCAAGAAAUUGCGGAAAAACACAUCUCAUACAUGUAUUGAAAGCAAUCCCAUUAAGGGAAAUGAUAGGGAGCUUGGUUUAACCGUUCUUACAAUGUCUGAGAUGCUAUCCAUGGCUGUAUCAGUUUCUGUAUCAGUUUACGAGGUUUCUCAGGAAACCGUGUAUAACCUUUUAGACCAAGAGAAGCGAGUGGUUGCUGUACUGGAAGGUGCACAAGGGAAAAUUCAACUAAAGGGACUUCCUCAGGCAAGUCAUUUAUUGUUCUUGAUCAUUAAGUCUUGGAACGUCAUAUGUAUUUUGCAGAUUAGCAUCAUUAAUAUUUCAAUGUUUCUGCUUUCAGGUACCUAUGAAGUCACUCUCAGAAUUCCAUAAAGGUGUGAUGAUACAUGUUACCACUGGCAACGCCAAUCCAGGCUCCCUUGGGAGGAUGAACUUUCUUGAUAUGGCAGGAUAUAAGGAUUCUGAUAGAAGCAGUUAAAAGACUAAUUACUAUUUACUAAGGUUUCAAUUUAACCAAGGUUUAUUAUGAGGGUAAACCAUAGUUGGUUUAGCUUUUCUUGUUUGGUCUAUGUCUAUAUAUAUAUAAUGUCUGAGAGAGUUGUGAGGGUCUUUUAUCGAGUAAUUGGAGAAAUCUUAGGGGGAGUGGGAGGAGCUCCAUUGUCAAAUUCCUCGAGUCCUUGUAAUUCUCGUCUUGAUAAUCUAUGAAAUACCUUUUUCUAUAAACUACUCGUAUCAGAUUCCAGGAAACAAAACAGUGCUCUAGCUCCUCUAGAGAUUGCCAGAGUUAAUACUUUGAUAUAUGCUUUACAGAAUGUCAUGUAUGCUCUCAACGGAAAUGAAUCCCAUGUGCCAUAUCGGGAGAGCAAACUCACUCGAAUGCUGAAAGAUUGUUUAAAAGGAUGCAACAGACGUUGCUGAUCACAUGCUUGAUAUACUUUUCUUGCUGUUGAGUUCGUUUUAAGUUUAUGAUUCACUGAAUGUAACUGCAGGCGAUGCUAACCCUUUUGUUUUUUUUUUAGCCUCGGGAAUAUAGCCCAAACUCCUUUUACAUGUUAAACUUAGCAUCACAGAUCUGUCUAGGUAGUAACCGAGCCAUGACUAAUCCUACUAAGAAGAAGAUCAACGGUCUUGAAAGAUCUAUUUCAUUAUGCUCUGCUGCUCAAAGGAAACAGACACCUUUGACUGUGUCUGCUACUUCUAGAAAACAGACAGUGCUAAGGGAAAAUGUGACAGAGAGAAAAGACUAAAAUCAACACUGCUGCUUCUGCAAUUAAAGCAAGGAAACUGUUCCGGGAAGCAAACGAUUCGGUGAAAUGUAAAAAUAGCAUGUUGGAAAAUUUAAUUAAUACGUCAUGAAGUUGAACAAUCUAGAUUCUUCCUUUACAAAGAGGUAAAACAGAGGGUAUAGAAACAGAGACUAAGAGACCAAGAGUCUUAAUUAAGGAGGUUUGGUAUACCACUUAACCCUAAUCAAUCCACUACUUACUUGAUAAAGACAUAUUCUCAUCAUGUAUAUUUGAUUAGAUUAGCUAGGCUCGUAAUAUGGGACAAAACCCCGAAGAUGAGCAAGAAAUGCUUUGAAAGAUUUUAUCGUAGCAUGAGUGUCAUAUCUACACCCUUCAGUGCUCCCUUGUAAAAUCAGAGUAUCUGAGUAUAGAUACUUAAUAGGUUUAAGUGUUCUUCGAUCUUGGACGAUAUGUUCCAACUUAUACUGAUACAGAGGGUCACGACAUACAUACUAUAAUUGAUAGAGAGUAUUAUCGUCAUCGUGGAUUCAAGUUUUUCCAAGGACGAUGGAUACAUGGCCGGCCCUAUAGACAUCAACAAGAAACUUUUGCUGUAGCCCAAAUUUUGUUUCUGAAAUUCUUCAACAAAAAUUAUUUACGAAACGGCCCUAAUUUUAUUUAUUUUACUA